ACUAAAUAGAUACCCUGGUAGUCCACGCCCUAAACGAUGUCUACUAGUUGUUGGUGGAGUAAAAUCCAUGAGUAAACGCAGCUAAACGCGUGAAGUAGACCGCCUGGGGAGUACGGUCGCAAGAUUAAAACUCAAAGGAAUUGACGGGGGCCCGCACAAGCGGUGGAUUAUGUGGAUUAAAUUCGAUGCAACGCGAAAAACCUUACCUGGCCUUGACAUGCCACUAACGAAGCAGAGAUGCAUUAGGUGCCCGUAAGGGAAAGUGGACACAGGUGCUGCAUGGCUGUCGUCAGCUUGUGUCGUGAGAUGUUGGGUUAAGUCCCGCAACGAGCGCAACCCUUGCCAUUAAUUGCCAUCAUUUAGUUGGGCACUUUAAUGGGACUGCCGGUGACAAACCGGAGGAAGGUGGGGAUGACGUCAAGUCCUCAUGGCCCUUAUGGCCAGGGCUUCACACGUAAUACAAUGGUCGGUACAGAGAGUUGCCAACCCGCGAGGGGAGCUAAUCUCAGAAAGCCGAUCGUAGUCCGGAUUGUUCUCUGC
rnacentral:rRNA from 1 species